UACGAAGGGGGCUAGCGUUGCUCGGAAUCACUGGGCGUAAAGGUGCGUAGGCGGGUUUUUAAGUCAGGGGUGAAAUCCUGGAGCUCAACUCCAGAACUGCCUUUGAUACUGAAGAUCUUGAGUCCGGGAGAGGUGAGUGGAACUGCGAGUGUAGAGGUGAAAUUCGUAGAUAUUCGCAAGAACACCAGUGGCGAAGGCGGCUCACUGGCCCGGUACUGACGCUGAGGCACGAAAGCGUGGGGAGCAAACAGG
rnacentral:rRNA from 1 species